rnacentral:rRNA from 1 species
CCUCCGUUCUUCAGCAGUUUUUGCUAUUUCACAAUUUUUUUAACCCUUAUUCAGCGACGCCGCGUGGGUGAAGGAGUGCUUCGGCAUGUAAAGCCCUAUCGGCAGGGAAGAAGCAAGACGGUACCUGACUAAGAAGCCCCGGCUAACUACGUGCCAGCAGCCGCGGUAAUACGUAGGGGGCGAGCGUUAUCCGGAUACACUGGGUGUAAAGGGAGCGUAGACGGCCAUGCAAGCCAGGGGUGAAAGCCCGGGGCCCAACCCCGGGACUGCCCUUGGAACUGCAUGGCUGGAGUGCGGGAGGGGCAGGCGGAAUUCCUGGUGUAGCGGUGAAAUGCGUAGAUAUCAGGAGGAACACCGGCGGCGAAGGCGGCCUGCUGGACCGCGACUGACGUUGAGGCUCGAAAGCGUGGGGAGCGAACAGGAUUAGAUACCCGUGUAGUC